rnacentral:rRNA from 1 species
GGAAUAUUGGACAAUGGGCGCAAGCCUGAUCCAGCCAUGCCGCGUGAGUGAUGAAGGCCUUCGGGUUGUAAAGCUCUUUUGGCGGGGACGAUGAUGACGGUACCCGCAGAAUAAGCCCCGGCAAACUUCGUGCCAGCAGCCGCGGUAAGACGAAGGGGGCUAGCGUUGUUCGGAAUUCCGGGGCGUAAAGGGCGCGUAGGCGGUCUUUUAAGUCAGGCGUGAAAGCCCUGGGCUCAACCUGGGAGUGGUGCUUGAUACUGGAGGACUAGAGAGUGGGAGAGGUUGGUGGAAUUCCCAGUGUAGAGGUGAAAUUCGUAGAUGUUGGGAAGAACACCGGUGGCGAAGGCGGCCAACUGGACCAUUUCUGACGCUGAGGCGCGAAAGCGUGGGGAGCAAA